rnacentral:rRNA from 1 species
CCCUUAGAUGUCCUGGGCCGCACGCGCGCUACACUGACAUGUUCAACAAGCCUCCUAGUUCGACAGGAUUUGGGAAAUCUUUGAACGCAUGUCGUGAUAGGGAUAGAUCAUUGCAAUUAUUGAGCUUGAACGAGGAAUUCCUAGUAAACGCGAGUCAUCAGCUCGCAUUGAUUACGUCCCUGCCCUUUGUACACACCGCCCGUCGCACCUACCGAUUGAAUGUUUCGGUGAAGAUUCCGGAUAGGACUUUUUUGAUUUAUUUCAAUUUUGUCUUAAAAGCUAUCUAAACCUCAACAUUUAGAGGAAGGUGAAGUCGUAACA